UUUUUUUUAGUUCUCUUAAAUACAAAGGUAAAGGAAUCCCUCUUUUUUUUUCUAUCCUGACUCUGUGGUUUAUAUUUGAAAAGGAGAAUCCAUGAUGGUGUUGACAUACUAUGCAUUUCAUAGAGGAAUGUGGUAGACCUAGAGGAAUAAAAAAUUUCUGUUGAACUUUACCUAGUGAAGACUCCCUUCUUAAGUGUCAUGUGAUCUACUGGAAAAGGUCCAGAGGAUAAGGAAGGAUAAUGAUGGACUAUGAGAAUACAUCCCUUAGGAAAAAUAAACGUACCAGUAUGUAGAAAGGCACCUCAAUCAGUUCUCAGUGUGAGGAUCUCACACUAGUAAGAAGAUUUAGGUCCAAUGAGAAACAAUUUGUGUACAUGUUGCAGCUCUAUAGAGAAACUCUUUUCAUCUAGAAGUGUUUCAGCUCUGUCCUAGCAAUGGGGUAAGGUUUCCCAGUGCAAGUAUAACAGCAGGACUCUGAAAGGAAGAGGUUUCCUGGGCUAAAGUAUUGCAGGUUUUCCAAAAGAUUUACUACAAAUACAAAGUGCACAAGAGAAAUUAUGAAAGACGUUUUCAGGGGAAGGUGGACACAAGGGUGUGGCUACCUCAGCUUGGGUACAAAGCAGCAGGAAAAUGAGCUAAAGGCAGGGUUUAUAUAGAUUCCAGAAUAGCCUGGAAUUGAGGAACUCUCUUAUCUAUAUUCAAAAUACAGGGACUGGUAGAAAUAUGCUGCAAAUUCUGAUUUGAGGAUGGAUUCAAAUUAGGGGAAAAGUGCUUUUCCUUUGGCCCCCUGAUCAGGGUCAAAUUUGAAUUAUGAUGUUCUCUUGUUAUCUCCACCCUACAAAUUGGGUUUUCUAGUCAUUGGGUCCUGUUUACACAGCAUAUUUUCUUUGGUAUGAGUCCAAAUGAUUGCAUGAACAAGAGAUUCCCAUUGUGUUUUUUGAUGUUGUUGUUUUGAAAUAAAAUUGUCAAAAUAUGACCAUGGAUCAAUGGAAUAGUCAUUUUUACAUCCAUACAGGACAUUGUGCCAUUGUAGAAUAUGAUUAUGUGAUUGGAUAUAUAUUUUAAAUGUAGAAUAGAAAAGAAAUUAUCUUAUUUAAACAUAUUACAGUUAUUAUACAAUCAAAAUUAAAGAAAUCUUCUGACUGGACCCUACUGCCUCUAAGCUCAGAGAAGGAGUUGGGAAUUGAGUGCCAGACACCUAUAUCCCCUUACAAUGACUCUUAGUGUUACAUAGACUAUAAUCUUUAUAACAGGAUCUCUAAUUAUAUCCCUGGAGAUGAGUUUAUGAACCCUGUCAUUAACAGUACACUGCACAUUCUGGCAGAGUUGGACAAAACUCAGGCUCUCCUGAGGCUUUCAUGAAUUCUGCUAGAAAUUUCUUCUUCAACUUACAUAAGGUGCAAGUGUUCAAUGCGGUGUAUCAUUUCACUAUAAUGAUACACCAAAUGCUUUUAUAUUAAUUGAGUUCUCCAGAGGAAUAGAAUUGAAACACAUAUUAUUCAAUAAUUGUUUUAUUUAUCAGGCAAGAUGUCAUGGCCAGUCUUCAGUACAUAUCUGAAUAGAGAAUAACUAGACUAUAAUACCACCUAAGCAAUAGUUCUUAAGUAGAUAUAUGAACUUCCCAGGGAUAAUGAGAAUAAGCAGGCAAAAGCGAAACUUCCCUACAUGUGUGUCCUUUAUGGAGGUAGAAAUCAGUUGUUCAGCAGCAACCAAUUGGUGUGGCCCAGGAGUAUGGUAGAUCUUCCCAUCUCAAACAAGGUAACUAAGAAAACUUAUUUCCUGGGUAUGCUUGUUGGUUGGGAUUUUACUUAAUUCAAAUGUAGUUCAGCUAUAAUGUGCAUAUACAGACUCACCAAUACUACCCAAACAAAGACAACAACAGACAAUACGUAGUAGGUGAGGGGAAGUCAGCCAUGCUCCAACACUACUAGAAGGCAAUCACAGGAAGCAGACAGAUUCUAAGUGUAAGUGAAAUAGGUAGCCCCAUCCCAUGAAAAAGGACACCAUUUGAUUAUCCAGUAUAUACAGGUAAGCCCUAAAAUCAUUCACACAAGUAACAUUUUACAGAAUGACAGACUGAUCUAGUUUUUGUAACUACUUAGCAAUUGUUUUAUUUUGAAUAUACUUGGCCCAUGGGAAGUGACACUAUUAGGAGAUGUUGCCUUGUUAGAAUAAGUGUGGCCUUGUUAGAGGAAGUGUGUCACUGUGCAGGCAGGCUUUGAGGUCUCCUAUUGCUCAAGUUUCUACAGGUGCAGAAGAGACAGAUGUCUCCUAGUGGCUUUUAGGUCAAGAUGUAUAAUGCUCAUCUCCUUCUAAAAUACCGUGAAUGUCUGAAUGCUGCCAUGUUUCCCUCCAUUAUGCUAAUAGACAGAAAGUCUGAAACUUUAAGCCAUGAUCAGUCACAUGUAUCACUUUAUAAACGUUGCCUUCAUAAUGCUGCGUUUUUGUAGGAAAAAAAACUUAUCUAAGACAGAAAUAUAUAUGUAACAGCAGUUAUAGAAUAAGAGGUCAUGAAUUUGAAAUAGAACAAGGAAAUAUAUCUGAGAUGGUUUGAGGG
rnacentral:lncRNA from 1 species